AUACGGAGGGUGCAAGCGUUAUUCGGAAUCACUGGGCGUAAAGGACACGUAGGCGGGAAGCCAAGUCUGAUGUGAAAUCCUACAGCUUAACUGUAGAACUGCAUUGGAAACUGGUUACCUAGAGUAUGGGAGGGGGAGAUGGAAUUAGUGGUGUAGGGGUAAAAUCCGUAGAUAUCACUAGGAAUACCUAAAGCGAAGGCGAUCUCCUGGAACAAUACUGACGCUAAGGCGUGAAAGCGUGGGGAGCAAACGGGAUUAGAAACCCUAGUAGUCC
rnacentral:rRNA from 1 species